rnacentral:rRNA from 1 species
UACGGAGGAUGCGAGCGUUAUCCGGAUUUAUUGGGUUUAAAGGGGGCGCAGGCGGUCUGUUAAGUCAGCGGUCAAAGCCCGGGGCUCAACCCCGGCCCGCCGUUGAAACUGGCAGUCUCGAGUUGGAGAGAAGUAUGCGGAAUGCGCGGUGUAGCGGUGAAAUGCAUAGAUAUCGCGCAGAACUCCGAUUGCGAAGGCAGCAUGCCGGCUCCACACUGACGCUGAGGCACGAAAGCGUGGGUAUCGAACAGG